GAUGAACGCUGGCGGCAUGCUUUACACAUGCAAGUCGAACGGUAACAGCACUUCGGUGGCUGACGAGUGGCGAACGGGUGAGUAAUGUAUCGGAACGUGCCCAGUAGUGGGGGAUAACUACUCGAAAGAGUGGCUAAUACCGCAUGAGAUCUCUGGAUGAAAGCGGGGGACCGUAAGGCCUCGCGCUACUGGAGCGGCCGAUAUCAGAUUAGGUUGUUGGUGGGGUAAAGGCCUACCAAGCCUGCGAUCUGUAGCUGGUCUGAGAGGACGACCAGCCACACUGGGACUGAGACACGGCCCAGACUCCUACGGGAGGCAGCAGUGGGGAAUUUUGGACAAUGGACGCAAGUCUGAUCCAGCAAUGCCGCGUGCAGGACGAAGGCCUUCGGUUGUAACUGCUUUGUACGGAACGAAAGACCUUCUUCUAAUACAGAGGGUUAUGACGGUACCGUAAGAAUAAGCACCGGCUAACUACGUGCCAGCAGCCGAC
rnacentral:rRNA from 1 species